AAUUCGAUUGAGUUUGAUCAUGGCUCAGAACGAACGCUGGCGGCGUGGAUAAGACAUGCAAGUCGAACGGGACAACAUUUGUAGCAAUAUAGAUGUUGUUUAGUGGCGAACGGGUGCGUAACACGUGGGGAAUCUGCCGAGAAGUGGGGGAUAGCUCGCCGAAAGGCGAAUUUAUACCGCAUAUGAUCAGGGAAGACAUCUUUCCGACAUCAAAGCCGGGGCAACCUGGCGCUUCUUGAUGACCCCGCGGCCUAUCAGCUAGUUGGUGAGGUAACGGCUCACCAAGGCUAUGACGGGUAGCUGGUCUGAGAGGACGACCAGUCACACUGGAACUGAGACACGGUCCAGACACCUACGGGUGGCAGCAGUCGAGAAUUUUUCUCAAUGGGGGCAACCCUGAAGGAGCGACGCCGCGUGGAGGAUGAAGGCUUUCGGGUUGUAAACUCCUGUCAUUUGAGAACAAGCGCUAGCAAGUAACUACUGCUAGCUUGAUAGUAUCAGAAGAGGAAGAGACGGCUAACUCUGUGCCAGCAGCCGCGGUAAUACAGAGGUCUCAAGCGUUGUUCGGAUUCAUUGGGCGUAAAGGGUGCGUAGGUGGCGGGGUAAGUCAGGUGUGAAAUUUCGGAGCUUAACUCCGAAACUGCAUUUGAUGCUGCCUUGCUUGAGGACUGGAGAGGAGACUGGAAUUCACGGUGUAGCAGUGAAAUG
rnacentral:rRNA from 1 species